GAUGAACGCUGGCGGCGUGCCUAAUACAUGCAAGUCGAGCGAACAGAUGAGGAGCUUGCUCCUCUGACGUUAGCGGCGGACGGGUGAGUAACACGUGGAUAACCUACCUAUAAGACUGGGAUAACUUCGGGAAACCGGAGCUAAUACCGGAUAAUAUAUUGAACCGCAUGGUUCAAUAGUGAAAGACGGUUUUGCUGUCACUUAUAGAUGGAUCCGCGCCGCAUUAGCUAGUUGGUAAGGUAACGGCUUACCAAGGCAACGAUGCGUAGCCGACCUGAGAGGGUGAUCGGCCACACUUGAACUGAGGCACGGUCCAGACUCCUACGGGAGGCAGCAGUAGGUAAUCUUCCGCAAUGGGCGAAAGCCUGACGGAGCAACGCCGCGUGAGUGAUGAAGGUCUUCGGAUCGUAAAACUCUUUUAUUAGGGAAGAACAAAUGUGUAAGUAACUAUGCACGUCUUGACGGUACCUAAUCAGAAAGCCACGGCUAACUACGUG
rnacentral:rRNA from 1 species